rnacentral:tRNA from 1 species
GCCGGGAUAGCUCAGUUGGUAGAGCAGGGGACUGCAAAUCCUCG